GAUGAAUGCUGGCGGUGUGCCUAAUACAUGCAAGUCGAGCGAACAGACGAGGAGCUUACUCCUCUGACGUUAGCGGCGGACGGGUGAGUAACACGUGGAUAACCUACCUAUAAGACUGGGAUAACUUCGGGAAACCGGAGCUAAUACCGGAUAACAUGUUGAACCGCAUGGUUCAACAGUGAAAGACGGUCUUGCUGUCACUUAUAGAUGGAUCCGCGUCGCAUUAGCUAGUUGGUAAGGUAACGGCUUACCAAGGCAACGAUGCGUAGCCGACCUGAGAGGGUGAUCGGCCACACUGGAACUGAGACACGGUCCAGACUCCUACGGGAGGCAGCAGUAGGGAAUCUUCCGCAAUGGGCGAAAGCCUGACGGAGCAACGCCGCGUGAGUGAAGAAGGUCUUCGGAUCGUAAAACUCUGUUAUUAGGGAAGAACAAAUGUGUAAGUAACUAUGCACGUCUUGACGGUACCUAAUCAGAAAGCCACGGCUAACUACGUG
rnacentral:rRNA from 1 species